AUACUAUAUUUAUAAUUGGAACAUCCCUCCAAAGUUAGGAAAAAUUCAGCAUGGCAGAAGUCAAGUAAAAAAAACAGACUUUGAUAAACUAACCUAGACAAAUUAACUAGCACACGUUUUUUGACCUUUAUAAUAUAAACAGACCAAAUUUAAAACAAUCAUAUCUUCUUACACAAAAGUCCAAUGCAAUCAUGGUUGGACAAUCUAGAAAGAACACGUUCUGAACUUGAAAUCCACCUAGAUUAGUCUUGUUUUCACAUGCAAUGGAUGACUUCAAAUUCGGGUUCAAAUUCAUUUGUUGUUCUGACCAUAAACAGCAUCAAUUCCUUCACUUAUUUGCAUAUCAACCCCAAAUUUAAGUAGCCCAGCAUCAAUAGAACCAUUAAGGGCUUUUCCCAUCUUCAAGUUCCAAUUGUAG
rnacentral:lncRNA from 1 species